UACGUAGGGGGCAAGCGUUGUCCGGAAUCAUUGGGCGUAAAGCGCGUGUAGGCGGCCCGGUAAGUCCGCUGUGAAAGUCGGGGGCUCAACCCUCGAAUGCCGGUGGAUACUGUCGGGCUAGAGUGCGGGAGAGGCGAGUGGAAUUCCUGGUGUAGCGGUGAAAUGCGCAGAUAUCAGGAGGAACACCAGUGGCGAAGGCGGUGCUCUGGGCCGGAACUGACGCUGAGGAGCGAAAGCGUGGGGAGCAAACAGG
rnacentral:rRNA from 1 species